UACAGAGGGGGCAAGCGUUGUUCGGAAUUACUGGGCGUAAAGGGCGCGUAGGCGGCCUUCUAAGUCGAACGUGAAAUCCCCGGGCUCAACCCGGGAACUGCGUCCGAUACUGGAAGGCUAGAAUCCGGGAGAGGGAUGCGGAAUUCCAGGUGUAGCGGUGAAAUGCGUAGAUAUCUGGAGGAACACCGGUGGCGAAGGCGGCAUCCUGGACCGGCAUUGACGCUGAGGCGCGAAAGCUAGGGGAGCAAACGGG
rnacentral:rRNA from 1 species